rnacentral:lncRNA from 1 species
GUGUAUACUAUGGUGGGGGUGGGAGGGAGCUGUUGAGAUGUUAUAGAGCUGGUGUUAUCUUAUGCAAAGAAUCUAUUCUAAAAAUAAAAUUUCCUUGUUUUACAUUUAAUUUGGCAUAUAACAAAUUCAGUGUCCAGCCCCUAAUGCCCUGGCCCUAUGACAUAAUUUAAAUCCCUUGUUUCUUGCUCUUUGGUGCCCAGGGGUCUCUGAUCAUACCUCCUCCCCCACCUCAUCUUACUGAGUUGGACAAACCAAAAACACCCCUUCUGGGCCUCUCUAUAUUUCAUGUAUUCAUGCCAGUCUUUCAUCCUUGCCCCUUACAGCCGCCCGGAUGGCGACCCCAGCCUCGGCCCCAGACACACGGGCUCUGGUGGCCGACUUUGUAGGCUAUAAGCUGAGGCAGAAGGGUUAUGUCUGUGGAGCUGGCCCUGGGGAGGGCCCAGCAGCUGAUCCACUGCACCAAGCCAUGCGGGCAGCUGGAGAUGAGUUCGAGACCCGCUUCCGGCGCACCUUCUCUGAUCUGGCAGCUCAGCUGCAUGUGACCCCGGGUUCAGCUCAGCAACGCUUCACCCAGGUCUCUGACGAACUUUUCCAAGGGGGUCCCAACUGGGGUCGUCUUGUGGCCUUCUUUGUCUUUGGGGCUGCCCUGUGUGCUGAGAGUGUCAACAAAGAGAUGGAGCCACUGGUGGGACAAGUGCAGGAGUGGAUGGUGGCCUACCUGGAGACGCGGCUGGCUGACUGGAUCCACAGCAGUGGGGGCUGGGUAAGAAGUUUCUCAAAUGCUGCUCUGCACAUCCCUCUGCAAAGCUGUUCUCCAGGGGGAAUAUGGGGGCUCUGAUUGGAGGCUGGGACAGCUGUGCUGGGAAGGAGGCAUGGGGCUGAAUUCUCCUAUUUAGGUGGAGUCAGACUGAGGUUCCCUCACCGAGCAUCACAUUGGACUCUGUACUCCAGGGCUGCCAUACAGUUAUCACUGCAUGGGCUUAUGGUCCCAAGCAAAGGACAGAAUACACAGUACCCAAGAAGUGCCUGCAGGGAAAGGUGUUACACCUGAGUAUAUGGCACGAGAGGUGGGGAGGAUCAGGGAUGGGUGGUGGUCAGGCAAGCCUUGGCAAAGGAUGCCAGUUCUAAGCAGAAUUUUUCAUCAAGGAAAGGAUGAGGCAGUGAGUGCAAGUGAGCCAGGCACUGGGGCAGAGGGGCUGCACAUGGGGGGAUCAGAGGGCUUGCAGUUGGUAGAGCUUUGGCUGGAGAGGAGCUGGGUAUGGGAUAGUGCUCGCAGUGGAUGGAACUGGAACUCUUCCUCUCCUCUUCUCUCCACUCUUUCCUCUCCUGAUAUCCCUUUCUCCUUCUUUCUCUCCUACUUCCCUUCUCUCCCACAGGCGGAGUUCACAGCUCUAUACGGGGACGGGGCCCUGGAGGAGGCACGGCGUCUGCGGGAGGGGAACUGGGCAUCAGUGAGGACAGUGCUGACGGGGGCCGUGGCACUGGGGGCCCUGGUAACUGUAGGGGCCUUUUUUGCUAGCAAGUGAGAAAGUUCAGGGCCAGGUGGGGCUAGGUGUGGCUGGGGGCCAGGAGAGCAGGAACAGAGAACAAGAAGUGAAGUGAAUGGUUGGGCAUGGAACAGGGAAGGGGAGAGGUAGCAUGUGAGGGAACCAAGUGUGCCAGGCAGGUGAUUGGAAGAGUGAGCUACAGUUAUUAAGGAGUUUUAAGAAAAUCAGAGGACCAGGAGAUGGAGUCAUUCCAGGGUUUGGGGGGAGGUGGGAGGGAUCAUGCCUAUAGGUAUGGGCACAUGAAACUACCCAGAGAUGAAUUUGCAGCGCUGAGGAAGGUGGACUUGCAUAAGGAGUUGUGUCUCCCCUGGAUAAGUGGGUUUUGGGGAACUAGAAGGCAUAUCCCUUUGGAAUGGAAGCUUAGGGUUCUCAGGUGAUUGGGAGAGGUGGCUGUGGCUGUGGGCUGCUUGGACACAAGUGUGCAUGUGCACGGGUACUCGUGUGCAUGCUGGGCUGUUUGUCUAAUCUGGAGGUGGUUCAGAUUCUUCAAGGAGAAAACAUUCCCUUUUGCAGUGGCAAGAACAAGGGACAGUUCUCUGCCCCUCCUCCCAAACCCUCUUUUCCCUUCCCCUUGUCCAGAUGCCUCAAGGCUGAAGGAGAAACACUGUAUCCAGACGGAGGGCUCUGGCACUUCUCAGCAGAAAGUUGUUGGUAGGGCUUUGGAGAGAAAGCAAUUCUGCAGCUGGCCUUGUUCCUUCAUUACCCAUUUUCCUGUGCAUCAUGAACUUCCUGCUGCCUCCUGGGCUCUGACAGAAGUGCAGGGCUCUGGAGCAUGGGCAGGUGAAGGCUUCUUCAGUAGCUGGAUAUGCCUGCCACCCUCCCCUCCCACUGGGGCACAAUGGUGCCUAAUAGCUCUGGGACCUCUGUACCCAAACUGAAACUCUAAAUUGGGGCUCAAUUUUCCUUUUGAGGAUGUAGACAUAAAUGCUGAUCUAGAAUAUAGUCUGGGUCCCACACUGUUUCUCAGUGAGACUGUUGAUUCCUUGAAAAGACCAUUCUAGCUUGAGCCCUGUGGGGUGAGGGUGACAGGUACUCUAUGACUGGGCCUAUUCUGUGUUGUGGGCUUUGGUGCUGCUUUAUUAGGGGCAGGUGUAUGGGUUUGAGAGUACCUACCACGAUCUGGAAGCAUUUAUAUUUCAUUGAAGCCACGCUGUUUGCAUGGGUGUUGUUUGUCUGUACCUCAGAGUCUGAGGAUGCUAACUUUAGAACUCACAGUCCUCUAGAACAGAUUCAGGCUAUAGCUUUUUCUUUUAAAGAAGAAAUGAUUCACUCCAGAUGCAUGUCCUGAGCCAGACCUCACUGCUGCACUUUCCAAGGUGCUAAAAUUUGCUGCUCUCCAAUGCUGACUUCAUUCACAGUGCUCUAGAACCCUGCCCAUAAUCCUGAGCACUGAUCAGUUUAGCUAGACAUGGUUGACUCUUCUUGGAGAUUUUUACUUGGUCCCAGAAUAUGGCAACAUGGAUGUGUUUGUUAGAAAGUGGGACCAAAUUGGCCUCAGGUGUUUAGUCCAGACUUUUGCUUUUGAGAGAGGGCUGCACUUUUUAAUGGUCUCUAUGGGGGAGGUGGUAGACUGCAUAUGCCACUUGGUCUGUUGUGAGUAUGCUGAUAUUAGAAACUCAGAGCUGGUCUAUGGCAGGCAGUUGGGGUGGGGGGUCUGACUUGCUCAGGACUAACUAGGCCAGUGGUUUUCAAACUGCUUGGCAGAGCCCCAAAGUAUCCUAGGGGUUGCCUCAGGAGUCCUUGGGGAGAUGAAGGGGAUGGGGGCUGAGCAGGCUGGGCAACUUGCCCUCAAACAGAACAGCUCCUCUUGUAGCUGUCUUACAUACCGGGGUUCAGGGUAAGAUUUUAUUUGCAUUAAGGGUUUUGCUGCUGAAAAAUAAAAGUUGGAAAACCACUGACUAGACCAUCAGCUCCAAAUUGGAGCCUGUGCUCCCCAAGGUUUGGGGCAGACUCUUCACUCUACCCACUACCACAAGAUACUUAUCUGUGUUAGCAUUCCUGGGGGGCUUUAGCAAACUGGGGCAGCAGGGACCAUGAUCAGGUUACCAAAGUGCCCCAUUCUGAGGCCUUCACACCUGGGUGGAAGGAGAGGCUUUUUUAUGAAAGGGUAAAGGGCUUGGUCUGGAUUCCCAAAAGCAGAGCUUGGAUGAGAUCACAGUGGGCAGUUUUGACCUGUUUUGCCCUUCUUAGUUUGAGGAGCAGUGGAAACCCCAGAGACUCUUCUGUCAGGGAAAACUAGGGACUCUCUUCUAGAGCCAUAUAGUUCCUUGGGAUUAGCUCUUGGCCAAGAAGGCUGAGUAUGGCUCCCAGUUUUUAAAUUCAUUUAUUUUUUUUUAAUGAGGAAAAUAAAUGUAAUGGCCAUUUUUCAAAGAUUAAAUAGGUGGAGAGGGUGUUUCUUGCUCUCCAGAGCCCAAAGGGACAAAUAGGGACUUUGCUUAGGCCAAGGAAGGACUGGAAGUAGGGCAACUGGGUCCUGCGAUUAUUAAUUGUACUCCCCACUUAUUGUAGGGCAUACAUACACUAUUUUACUUUUUUAAAAUCAUAAAACGGCAGGAGAACAGAUUUGGUUAGUUUAGAAGAAAAGAAAAAGCUCUAUAAAUAUAAAUAUAUAUUCCUGUAUUUUUAUUUAAUAAUUUAUAAAUAUCAAGUUCAUUUGACUUUUAUUUUUGUGUAAUAUGUAAUGGUCGUAUUAAAAAAAUAAAUAAAGCCCAGAAGUUUAAUGAGAAGGACUGAACAGGGUUUUGUGACUUUAUACUGUAUAACUGGGGUCAGAACAUUCCUCGAUCCAAUCAUCUGUUCGUGAUAUUGCUAAGGGCAAGAAUUAGAGUUAUAGGGUUUUGGGAAACUGUUGAGAUUAAAAAAAAAAAAAUCAGAGUUGUUCUACCAUCUUCCUCACCCCACCCCUAUUCUGGUCAAGUACCCAAAGCCAAGAACUCCAUCUAUCCCAACCCAAGCUUCAAGAGGGUGUAGGUAUAUGGUACUUUGGGACCGCCACAAACAAAAAAUCAAAACAAAGAAAACCUCCCUAAAAUCUUUAUGCAAAAUCAACUCCCCAGCUAUUGUUUGGCCUCAAAUCAGAAGUGUGUGAUAAUGAUCCUUUCUCACUGAUGCCUACUUCAGAUUUAGAAUAUAUCUAUCAGAAAUGGAGCUCCUGCUUUCUUGUCUAGUCCCCAGAGAUAUUUGGUUUCAGCCAUUUCACUGCAAACUGCUAAUUGGAUGGAAUCUCCAGGAUUAUUCAGUCCAUUCCCCUCUGUACCUCUAGUUAGGACCACAUCAGAAUCAUUUCUGACAGGAACCGUGAUUUUAAUUUUAAAUUUCAAAUGGAAAUUUCUGAUCUUUCUAUAUCCCAGUGCAAUAAAUUGAUGUUUGGGUUUAUGUGUUAAAUUGUGAGAAAUAAUUGCUUAGAG